UAGUGACUAGUACCGUGAGGGAAAGGUGAAAAGUACCCUGAAAAAGGGGGUGAAAUAGUACCUGAAACCUUGCGCUUACAAGCGGUCGGAGGUUCUUCGUGAACUGACGGCGUGCCUUUUGCAUAAUGAGCCUACGAGUUACUCUUCACUGGCAAGGUUAAAAAUUUUUGAUUUGGAGCCGGAGCGAAAGCGAGUCUUAACAGGGCGUUCAGUCAGUGGAGGUAGACGCGAAACCUAGUGAUCUACCCAUGGUCAGGGUGAAUUUAUGGUAAAACAUAAUGGAGGCCCGAACCAGUAUACGUUGAAAAGUAUUUGGAUGAACUGUGGGUAGGGGUGAAAGGCCAAUCAAACUAGGAGAUAGCUCGUACUCCCCGAAAUGCUUUUAGGAGCAGCGUGAAUUAAUAGUCUAGCAGAGGUAGAGCUACCGAUUGGACUAGGGGGAGUCAAAUCCUACCAACUCCAGACGAACUCCGAAUGCUGCUAGAUGUUUAUUUGCAGUGAGGGCAUGGGUGCUAAGGUCCAUGUCCAAGAGGGAAACAACCCGGAUCCUCAGCUAAGGUCCCUAAAUCUAUACUAAGUUGAUCUAAGGUAGUUCAAUUACUCAGACAGCCAGGAGGUUGGCUUAGAAGCAGCCAUUCCUUUAAAGAGUGCGUAACAGCUCACUGGUCGAAUGUUCUCGCGCGGAAGAUGUAACGGGGCUAAAUAUACUGCCGAAGCUAUGGGAUUUUAUUAAUUCUGAUUUCGAUCCAGAAGAUAAAAUCGGUAGGAGAGCGUUGUAUGGACAGCGAAGCGACAACGUGAGUUAGUCGUGGAGACCAUACAAGUGAGAAUGUUGGCAUGAGUAGCGAAGGAAGAGUGAGAAUCUCUUCCGCCGAAUGUCCAAGGGUUCCUGGGGAAGGUUCGUCCGCCCAGGGUUAGUCGGGACCUAAGGCGAGGUCGAGAGACGUAGUCGAUGGAUAACAGAUUGAUAUUUCUGUACCACUAAUUAAGCGCCCAAACCGAAUAUAUGUUGCUAAGGAAAGCCCUUCGGGGCCUACCGACCCACAUAUUACUAGGUUAGCAAUGGAGCGACGGAGAAGGAUAGAUGAGCCCAGGUGAUGGUUAUCCUGGGGUAAAUGUGUAGGAAGACUGAUAGGUAAAUCCGUUAGUUACAUAUUCUGAGACAUGAUGCCGAGCCGCUUUUAGGCGAAGUCAUUGAUUCCAUACUUCCAAGAAAAACUUCUAGUUAGUUUUUUUAGUGCCCGUACCCCAAACCGACACAGGUGGACAAGUAGAGAAUACUAAGGCGAGCGAGAUAACUCUGGUUAAGGAACUCGGCAAAAUAGUUCCGUAACUUCGGGAGAAGGAACGCCCAAGUAAAGUGAUUAAUUAACUUUAUGAGCUUGAACGGGCCGCAGUGAUCAGACUCAAGCGACUGUUUAUCAAAAACACAGGAGGGUGCAAAGUUCUAAUACAACGUAUACCCUCUGACACCUGCCCGGUGCUGGAAGGUUAAGUGGAGAGGUUAGCUUCGGCGAAGCUUUGAAAUUAAGCCCCAGUAAACGGCGGCCGUAACUAUAACGGUCCUAAGGUAGCGAAAUUCCUUGUCGGGU
rnacentral:rRNA from 1 species